rnacentral:rRNA from 1 species
AAAUUGAAGAGUUUGAUCAUGGCUCAGAUUGAACGCUGGCGGCAGGCCUAACACAUGCAAGUCGAACGGUAACAGGAAGCAGCUUGCUGCUUCGCUGACGAGUGGCGGACGGGUGAGUAAUGUCUGGGAAACUGCCUGAUGGAGGGGGAUAACUACUGGAAACGGUAGCUAAUACCGCAUAACGUCGCAAGACCAAAGAGGGGGACCUUCGGGCCUCUUGCCAUCGGAUGUGCCCAGAUGGGAUUAGCUUGUUGGUGGGGUAACGGCUCACCAAGGCGACGAUCCCUAGCUGGUCUGAGAGGAUGACCAGCCACACUGGAACUGAGACACGGUCCAGACUCCUACGGGAGGCAGCAGUGGGGAAUAUUGCACAAUGGGCGCAAGCCUGAUGCAGCCAUGCCGCGUGUAUGAAGAAGGCCUUCGGGUUGUAAAGUACUUUCAGCGGGGAGGAAGGGAGUAAAGUUAAUACCUUUGCUCAUUGACGUUACCCGCAGAAGAAGCACCGGCUAACUCCGUGCCAGCAGCCGCGGUAAUACGGAGGGUGCAAGCGUU